rnacentral:rRNA from 1 species
GACGAACGCUGGCGGCGUGCCUAAUACAUGCAAGUUGAGCGCUGAAGGUUGGUACUUGUACCAACUGGAUGAGCAGCGAACGGGUGAGUAACGCGUGGGGAAUCUGCCUUUGAGCGGGGGACAACAUUUGGAAACGAAUGCUAAUACCGCAUAAAAACUUUAAACACAAGUUUUAAGUUUGAAAGAUGCAGUUGCAUCACUCAAAGAUGAUCCCGCGUUGUAUCAGCUAGUUGGUGAGGUAAAGGCUCACCAAGGCGAUGAUACAUAGCCGACCUGAGAGGGUGAUCGGCCACAUUGGGACUGAGACACGGCCCAAACUCCUACGGGAGGCAGCAGUAGGGAAUCUUCGGCAAUGGACGAAAGUCUGACCGAGCAACGCCGCGUGAGUGAAGAAGGUUUUCGGAUCGUAAAACUCUGUUGGUAGAGAAGAACGUUGGUGAGAGUGGAAAGCUCAUCAAGUGACGGUAACUACCCAGAAAGGGACGGCUAACUACGUG